UGGGGAAUUUUGGACAAUGGGCGCAAGCCUGAUCCAGCCAUGCCGCGUGCGGGAAGAAGGCCUUCGGGUUGUAAACCGCUUUUGUCAGGGAAGAAACGCUCUGGGCUAAUACCCUGGGGUAAUGACGGUACCUGAAGAAUAAGCACCGGCUAACUACGUGCCAGCAGCCGCGGUAAUACGUAGGGUGCAAGCGUUAAUCGGAAUUACUGGGCGUAAAGCGUGCGCAGGCGGUUAUGCAAGACAGAUGUGAAAUCCCCGGGCUCAACCUGGGAACUGCAUUUGUGACUGUAUAGCUAGAGUACGGUAAGAGGGGGAUGGAAUUCCGCGUGUAGCAGUGAAAUGCGUAGAUAUGCGGAGGAACACCGAUGGCGAAGGCAAUCCCCUGGACCUGUACUGACGCUCAUGCACGAAAGCGUGGGGAGCAAACAGGAUUAGAUACCCAAGUAGUCCCCUGAGCGGGCUGGCAAGGCGCAU
rnacentral:rRNA from 1 species